rnacentral:rRNA from 1 species
AUGGCUCCUCUCCAAGCUCUCUCCUUCAUCCUCCUCCUCCUGCUCGUCGUGCAGCACGCGCGCACGGCGAGGGCGAGCACGCUGGAGGACACGUGUAGGCUCGUCGCCACCGCCUCCUGGGAGGCCGCGCACGACUACGACUUCUGCGUGAAGACGCUGGGGGCGGACCCGGCGAGCGUGACGGCCGACGAGCUCGGCCUGGUCGUCAUCGCGGUGAGGAUCGCCGGUGCGACCGCCAAGGCCACCGGCGACCGCAUCGCCCAGCUGCAGGCCGUCGAGACGUCGCCCCGGCGGCGGCUGGUCCUGAACGAGUGCGCCAAGGACUGCGCCUUGACCGUGCGCCGGCUGGGGCGCGCCGCCGGAGACUUCGCCACGGGCGGGGACGAGGACCGGCUGACGGAGGCGGCCACCCUGCUGGAGCAGGUUCGUGGCACGCCGGUGCGCUGCGACAAGGCGUUCAUCUUCAGGGCCGGCGAGAGGACGCCCCUGACCCACGCCGUCCACGAGCUCAACGACGUGACCAUGCUGGCGUUGAAAAUCUUGCGGCAUUGCUUAAACAACGGGGCAAAAUGA